rnacentral:rRNA from 1 species
CACCUUCGGGUGAGCGGCGGACGGGUGAGUAACGCGUGGGAACGUGCCCUUCUCUGCGGAAUAGCCACUGGAAACGGUGAGUAAUACCGCAUACGCCCUUCGGGGGAAAGAUUUAUCGGAGAAGGAUCGGCCCGCGUUAGAUUAGGUAGUUGGUGGGGUAAUGGCCUACCAAGCCUACGAUCUAUAGCUGGUUUGAGAGGAUGAUCAGCCACACUGGGACUGAGACACGGCCCAGACUCCUACGGGAGGCAGCAGUGGGGAAUCUUAGACAAUGGGCGCAAGCCUGAUCUAGCCAUGCCGCGUGAGUGAUGAAGGCCUUAGGGUCGUAAAGCUCUUUCGCUGGGGAAGAUAAUGACUGUACCCAGUAAAGAAACCCCGGCUAACUCCGUGCCAGCAGCCGCGGUAAUACGGAGGGGGUUAGCGUUGUUCGGAAUUACUGGGCGUAAAGCGCGCGUAGGCGGAUCAGAAAGUUGGGGGUGAAAUCCCGGGGCUCAACCUCGGAACUGCCUCCAAAACUCCUGGUCUUGAGUUCGAGAGAGGUGAGUGGAAUUCCGAGUGUAGAGGUGAAAUUCGUAGAUAUUCGGAGGAACACCAGUGGCGAAGGCGGCUCACUGGCUCGAUACUGACGCUGAGGUGCGAAAGUGUGGGGAGCAAACAGGAUUAGAUACCCUGGUAGUCCACACCGUAAACGAUGAAUGCCAGUCGUCGGCAAGCAUGCUUGUCGGUGACACACCUAACGGAUUAAGCAUUCCGCCUGGGGAGUACGGUCGCAAGAUUAAAACUCAAAGGAAUUGACGGGG